AAUUUAAAUAGUUUAAUAAAAAUAUUGAUUUGUGGUGUCAAUGAUAUGAAUUUUUUCAUUUUAGAUC
rnacentral:tRNA from 1 species